GUGGGGAAUCUUGCGCAAUGGGCGAAAGCCUGACGCAGCCAUGCCGCGUGAAUGAUGAAGGUCUUAGGAUUGUAAAAUUCUUUCACCGGGGACGAUAAUGACGGUACCAGGAGAAGAAGCCCCGGCUAACUUCGUGCCAGCAGCCGCGUUAAUACGAAGGGGGCUAGCGUUGCUCGGAAUUACUGGGCGUAAAGGGCGCGUAGGCGGACAGUUUAGUCAGAGGUGAAAGCCCAGGGCUCAAACUUGGAAUUGCCUUUGAUACUGGCUGUCUUGAGUACGGGAGAGGUGAGUGGAACUCCGAGUGUAGAGGUGAAAUUCGUAGAUAUUCGGAAGAACACCAGUGGCGAAGGCGACUCACUGGCCCGUUACUGACGCUGAGGCGCGAAAGCGUGGGGAGCAAACAGGAUUAGAUACCCUUGUAGUCC
rnacentral:rRNA from 1 species